AGUCGCGGAUCAAAACGCCACGCCCACUCGCUCUCGCUCUGGGACCAGGAUUUCCGCCACUGAGACUUACGAGUCACUGUACCGCGAGAGGCAGCCAGCGCCGACGUCUCGUUGGCCCCCGCCGCCAAACCAGGAAUUGGUCUUCUGAGAGCAUUUCUACUGGUAGAAAUCAGGAAUUGGAAUUCAAAUAUCUCUCACCGUGGACCGAUCCGCCCGCGUCCGCCUGGUUGCGGAGCCUGGGCUUGGCCGCCGGUCACGGGGGCUAUCUCCCCGGAUCCGCCGCCCCAUCCUCCCGGCGUCCCUGCCGCCCUCGACUCCCUCCCCCGCGCGCAGCCCAUGACUCCCUCCAUCACCGCCGCCCGCAACUCCCUGCACCGUCGCCCCGAUUGCCUCCCCCGAUCUCGGAGUCCGGCCCAUAAGGUGAUUUUUUUUUUCAAAUGAUGUUGCUUGUGAUGUCAAUUUUGCAAAUGGUAGUUAUUGAUGUUGUUGAAUUUUGGAAGUGGAAUGCAAAUGGUAGAUGAAUGGGAGAUGAAUAUAUGCUCAUUGUUGCUAUUGUAUUAUGGAUUUGGUAUGUUUGAUUUGUAAUAUGUUGACAUGUGGAGUUUAAUUGAGGUGAUUUGGGCAAUAGGAUGCGAGUUAGAAAAUUUUAGGGGGCAGUUUUUCUCAUGUUGGUGGAGAGAAAAACUGUGAAGGACAAAAAACUAGGUUUUCUCACUCCUAAAAACCCGUUUUCCUCCUCCAGUUUUUUUUUAUGCUGGUAGAGAUGCUGUAAGCCUGUCGCCAAGCGCUGGUUCACGUCGCGCAAUCUGAAAACAGUUCAACUUGGAAUUUGAGAUACGUUCGGGCGCCGGCAGAUCAAAUUUGAGGUUCAACUAUGAAUCCAGACUUCUGGUGAGACCAAUAGUUAACUCAAAGAGUUCAGGCUAAACUCUGAGUUCUAGCGAGCAAAACUAAAUACUACUACAUCUAUCACCAGCGGUGGUGUAACCAGGAUUUUAAGUCAGGAUGAUCCAAUCGGUAGAAAUUUAUAAAUAUAACAUGCUAAAAUAUUUUUCCGGCCACACAAUAUCAGGUACCCCCAGUGCAUGUCGCAUGCCCUGGUCGCCUACGUGCCAUGUCGCUGAGCUCUCCGCUCGCUAGAGUUCUGAAAUUGGAAAUGAUGAUACACUAUGUUUAAGUAUUUGAGUUGAAAAUGGUGCAAUCAGGAUCAGUGAGAACAUAUGGCUCGUAUAAGAAAAAAAACGCAGCAUUAGAUAAAAAAGGUUGUAGGCUCAAAAGUUAGCAACCUAGACACUGGACGGCUGUUUUUUUUAGAAUGACAGUCUGUCUAGCUUUAGAGUUUACGGAAUAGUAGUUUGUCUAAAGCAACAUAUAAGUUCCUAAACUUCUUUUUUUCCUUGUUCUAUUUAGAAAUAUGUGCGAAACAAUUGCCAUGUCAUACGUGGCUGCAGUGAGUUUCGUGAGCAACCCAACCUCUAUGGUUGAAAGUUGAGUAUCAAGUUUGUUGGUUUAGAGUUAUGGACCAAAAGUGUAGUUGGCUUAAAUAGCUUCUUCUUUUCUCCUUUUUAACACUUAGUUUUAAUUUAUUUUUGCUGAAGUCACCACGUGCAUAGUUGCAAAGUUUGCCUAUGUGUGCUAAUAACAGAUAUUUGAAUGGGCGAAAGUUCUCGGGGAAGCCUUGUUUUUUUCAAUAUGGGCCGCGGAAUCUAUGCAAUAAACCAGAAAAAAGAUACUCCCUCCAUACCGAAUUAACUAACGUGGAUUUGUAUAAAAGUCCAUGUCAGUUAAUUCAGGACGGAAGGAGUAUUUUCCUUCUUCUUGGGAGCAGGGCCUUGCAAGGACAACGACCUAGGUGGAAAUUUGAGGAAGAUCGGACGACCAAGAAUGUCUAGAACGACGAUCGAGAGCGCAGAUGGCAUGAGAAGGACCUAAUCCACUAAAUAAUAAUAUCUCUUGAGUGGACACGUGUGACUGUUCGUGAUGAAGUCCCUCGCGAGAAUACUUUUGCAAAGAUCUGGAUCAAAUACUACAAAAAUGAAAAAAAAAGGCAUAGCAGUCCAGUGAAUGUGAUGCAAGGCCUGCAGCGGUGAUUUUAGAGCAAUCAAAGCGCUGCGAGUCAGCAUGUAAGCUCUUUUAUGAUUAGGUGAAAAUUAUUUGUAGCUGUAAACGUACUAUUGCUUCUCUAUCAUUGUAACGUGUUUCUGGAAGAAAUGAUAAGAAGUAUGCGCUCUAGAUUGUUUGAUGCACUA